rnacentral:scRNA from 1 species
GGGAGUUCCGUUCUCUUCCCUUUUGUGAUAUAAAAUCCGCCGCUUUCCAAGGUCCGUCCUUGAAGCACAAACCCACACACGUGUCGACACGAUGACCUGGGUGCCCUUGGCAGAUGCCACUGGUUGGUCAUUGGGAUACGUGGAGGCCUAACC